UGCAGACAGCUGCUUCUGACUCGGCUCGUGC
rnacentral:piRNA from 1 species